rnacentral:rRNA from 1 species
GAUGAACGCUAGCUACAGGCUUAACACAUGCAAGUCGCAGGGUAACAUGAGGAAAGCUUGCUUUCCUUGAUGACGACUGGCGCACGGGUGAGUAACGCGUAUCCAACCUUCCCAUAACUACGGGAUAACCCGUUGAAAGACGGCCUAAUACCGUAUGACAUCGUUUGCUGACAUCAAAUAACGAUUAAAGGUUUAGCGGUUAUGGAUGGGGAUGCGUCUGAUUAGCUUGUUGGCGGGGUAACGGCCCACCAAGGCGACGAUCAGUAGGGGUUCUGAGAGGAAGGUCCCCCACAUUGGAACUGAGACACGGUCCAAACUCCUACGGGAGGCAGCAGUGAGGAAUAUUGAUCAAUGGGCGAGAGCCUGAACCAGCCAAGUAGCGUGCAGGAUGACGGCCCUAUGGGUUGUAAACUGCUUUUAUGUGGGGAUAAAGUGCGUGACGUGUCAUGCAUUGCAGGUACCACAUGAAUAAGGACCGGCUAAUUCCGUG